rnacentral:misc_RNA from 1 species
CUUAGGCCAGCAGUUCCUCUUCACUCUAAAUUUAUGGUAAGCAUUACCAGCCUUCAAAAGGGGCUUCUCAGUCCUACCUCCACCUGCAACCUGUCCAACCAUGGCACGGCACCCACUUGGAACUAUUUUCUUUGAACCGGAUGGAAGCUUGAUCCUGGAAGUGUCAUUAUCGGGAUUGUGACUAAUAACAAUGGCAUAGUCACCCGAGCACCUGGCAAAAACACCGCGGUCACCAACAUGAUGUUCGACGUUGCAGACGACAGCACCUUCAGGAAUCGAUCUUAUGGGCAAGACAUUUCCAACCACGAGAUUUGCUUUCUUCCCACAGUAAACAAAUUGGCCAGUGUACAUACCCUCGGCCGCAACGAACAGCUCAUUCUGUUUCUUGUACCUGAAAGGGUGGCGGAAUGAAACUCGAGCAAGUGGCGCUCCACGGCCAGGGUCGUGAAUAAUCUCAGUGACGACUCCUUUCAGAUAACCAUUUCGUUCACCGAAAUCGAGACUUCUGAACCUGGCCGGGCCCUUCCGAUGAUGGGUAUGGGACUUGAAGACGGAUCCCGCUCCCUUGCGCUGAGCACGAAUGACUCUUCCCAUGGCGGCUCCGCGAGAUCGGAGAUUUUCAGUUCGCU